rnacentral:rRNA from 1 species
GAUGAACGCUGGCGGCGUGCCUAAUACAUGCAAGUCGAGCGAACAGACGAGGAGCUUGCUCCUCUGACGUUAGCGGCGGACGGGUGAGUAACACGUGGAUAACCUACCUAUAAGACUUGGAUAACUUCGGGAAACCGGAGCUAAUACCGGAUAAUAUAUUGAACCGCAUGGUUCAAUAGUGAAAGACGGUUUUGCUGUCACUUAUAGAUGGAUCCGCGCUGCAUUAGCUAGUUGGUAAGGUAACGGCUUACCAAGGCAACGAUGCGUAGCCGACCUGAGAGGAUGAUCGGCCACACUGGAACUGAGACACGGUCCAGACUCCUACGGGAGGCAGCAGUAGGGAAUCUUCCGCAAUGGGCGAAAGCCUGACGGAGCAACGCCGCGUGAGUGAAGAAGGUCUUCGGAUCGUAAAACUCUGUUAUUAGGGAAGAACAAAUGUGUAAGUAACUAUGCACGUCUUGACGGUACCUAAUCAGAAAGCCACGGCUAACUACGUG